rnacentral:rRNA from 1 species
GGCGCACGGGUGAGUGACACAUGGCUGACCUGCCCUUCAGAGGGGGACAACCACUAGAAAUGGUGGCUAAUACCCCAUAUGCUCACGGGAUUUAGAAACUUGUGAGGAAAAGCUCCGGCGCUGAAGGAGGGGGCUGUGGCCCAUCAGCUAGUUGGUGUGGUAACGGCGCACCAAGGCGAGGACGGGUAGGGGGCCUGAGAGGGUGACCCCCCACACGGGUACUGAGACACGGACCCG